GCAAACUGCUCAGUAACACGUGGCCAAACUGCCCUAUGGACUGGGAUCCUCGGGAAACUGAGGCUAAUCCCGGAUAGCGCAUCCAGCCUGGAACUGGCGGAUGCGUGAAACGUUCCGGCGCCAUAGGAUGUGGCUGCGGCCGAUUAGGUAGACGGUGGGGUAACGGCCCACCGUGCCGAUAAUCGGUACGGGUCAUGAGAGUGAGAGCCCGGAGACGGACUCUGAGACACGAGUCCGGGCCCUACGGGGCGCAGCAGGCGCGAAACCUUUACACUGCACGACAGUGCGAUAGGGGGACACCGAGUGCGAGGGCAUAGAGCCCUCGCUUUUGUAGACCGUAAGGAGGUCUACGAAUAAGGGCUGGGCAAGACCGGUGCCAGCCGCCGCGGUAACACCGGCAGCCCGAGUGAUGGCCGAUAUUAUUGGGCCUAAAGCGUCCGUAGCUGGCCGCGCAAGUUCGUCGGGAAAUCCACUCGCUUAACGAGUGGGCGUCCGGCGAAAACUGUGCGGCUUGGGACCGGAAGAUCCAAGGGGUACGUCCGGGGUAGGAGUGAAAUCCCGUAAUCCUGGACGGACCACCGAUGGCGAAAGCACCUUGGAAGGACGGAUCCGACAGUGAGGGACGAAAGCUAGGGUCUCGAACCGGAUUAGAUACCCGGGUAGUCCUAGCUGUAAACGAUGCUCGCUAGGUGUGGCGCAGGCUACGAGCCUGCGCUGUGCCGUAGGGAAGCCGUGAAGCGAGCCGCCUGGGAAGUACGUCUGCAAGGAUGAAACUUAA
rnacentral:rRNA from 1 species